rnacentral:rRNA from 1 species
GAAUGCUGACAUAAGUAACGAUAAAGCGGGUGAAAAGCCCGCUCGCCGGAAGACCAAGGGUUCCUGUCCAACGUUAAUCGGGGCAGGGUGAGUCGACCCCUAAGGCGAGGCCGAAAGGCGUAGUCGAUGGGAAACAGGUUAAUAUUCCUGUACUUGGUGUUACUGCGAAGGGGGGACGGAGAAGGCUAUGUUAGCCGGGCGACGGUUGUCCCGGUUUAAGCAUGUAGGCUGGUUGUCCAGGCAAAUCCGGAUAAUCAAGGCUGAGGUGUGAUGACGAGGCACUACGGUGCUGAAGUAACAAAUGCCCUGCUUCCAGGAAAAGCCUCUAAGCAUCAGGUAACAUCAAAUCGUACCCCAAACCGACACAGGUGGUCAGGUAGAGAAUACCAAGGCGCUUGAGAGAACUCGGGUGAAGGAACUAGGCAAAAUGGUGCCGUAACUUCGGGAGAAGGCACGCUGGUGUGUAGGUGAAGUCCCUGCGGAUGGAGCUGAGACCAGUCGAAGAUACCAGCUGGCUGCAACUGUUUAUUAAAAACACAGCACUGUGCAAACACGAAAGUGGACGUAUACGGUGUGACGCCUGCCCGGUGCCGGAAGGUUAAUUGAUGGGGUUAUCCGUAAGGAGAAGCUCUUGAUCGAAGCCCCGGUAAACGGCGGCCGUAACUAUAACGGUCCUAAGGUAGCGAAAUUCCUUGUCGGGUAAGUUCCGACCUGCACGAAUGGCGUAAUGAUGGCCAGGCUGUCUCCACCCGAGACUCAGUGAAAUUGAACUCGCUGUGAAGAUGCAGUGUACCCGCGGCAAGACGGAAAGACCCCGUGAACCUUUACUAUAGCUUGACACUGAACAUUGAGCCUUGAUGUGUAGGAUAGGUGGGAGGCUUUGAAGCGUGGACGCCAGUCUGCGUGGAGCCAACCUUGAAAUACCACCCUUUAAUGUUUGAUGUUCUAACGUUGGCCCCUUACCGGGGUUGCGGACAGUGUCUGGUGGGUAGUUUGACUGGGGCGGUCUCCUCCCAAAGCGUAACGGAGGAGCACGAAGGUUAGCUAAUCCUGGUCGGACAUCAGGAGGUUAGUGCAAUGGCAUAAGCUAGCUUGACUGCGAGCGUGACGGCGCGAGCAGGUGCGAAAGCAGGUCAUAGUGAUCCGGUGGUUCUGAAUGGAAGGGCCAUCGCUCAACGGAUAAAAGGUACUCCGGGGAUAACAGGCUGAUACCGCCCAAGAGUUCAUAUCGACGGCGGUGUUUGGCACCUCGAUGUCGGCUCAUCACAUCCUGGGGCUGAAGUAGGUCCCAAGGGUAUGGCUGUUCGCCAUUUAAAGUGGUACGCGAGCUGGGUUUAGAACGUCGUGAGACAGUUCGGUCCCUAUCUGCCGUGGGCGCUGGAGAAUUGAGGGGGGCUGCUCCUAGUACGAGAGGACCGGAGUGGACGCAUCACUGGUGUUCGGGUUGUCAUGCCAAUGGCACUGCCCGGUAGCUAAAUGCGGAAGAGAUAAGUGCUGAAAGCAUCUAAGCACGAAACUUGCCCCGAGAUGAGUUCUCCCUGAGACUUUAAGUCUCCUGAAGGAACGUUAAAGACGAUGACGUUGAUAGGCCGGGUGUGUAAGCGCAGCGAUGCGUUGAGCUAACCGGUACUAAUGAACCGUGAGGCUUAACCUU